rnacentral:piRNA from 1 species
UGCAAUUCAAUGAAAACUGAUAACAUGGU